GCUAACUGACUCCCAGAUCUAUACAUGUAUAGAUGAAGGUAAUUUAGUCACUUUCCUGAAUCACAUUGGUGAUAAACACCACUCUCUGUAAUCCUACCAAGUGCAGCGAGUGUGCAGUGUCUUCCUACUUUGUUCAGCGCCAUCCUGCAUUUCCUGAAGCUUCUGAUCCUCCCUUCCCUCAGCACUCCCCCAUUGCCAUUUGCAAAAAUCUACUGUCUUGUUGAAUAACUGAGCUUCCUGGGAGCUACCCUUUCCCUACUCUGGGCCUCAGAAUGAUAUCUUCCAUCAAUUACUUAGUUUUUGUUGUGGCUAAUGACUGAAUAAACCUAAUGGGUCUGAUAAAGUCACCCAGUGCCUCUGCACAAACUGGUCUGACCCUACCAGAUAUCUCCAGGCCAAUUGAUUGGCAUCAUUCUGUCUUAUUUCAUGCGAGUGCUGCAUGUUAUGCAGAGAAUGUAAUCAAUGAGCAUUGUCUGGAUGGCAUUGUGCAGAACCAGGACACUCUUUGGCCUACAGCAAGCUGCUCAAGGCACUGGGCAGAUCCCAGGAUGCUAACAGGAAGCAAAAUGUGUGAAAUAUUGUAAUCAGGAAUGCAGCCUCACAUUUAGACCCGUACCAAAUGAGCAAACAGGUCUGGUUGCACCAUGAGGAAGUGUUGUAUUUACACUCAAGAUAAAGAUCCUCAUGAGUCAGCUGUAUAGCCUCCCCAAGGGCUUCAGGCCUCUCUCCUUCACCUCCUUCACCCAGACGGACACUCGAGUACAGUGUGGGCCUCAGGCCAAUGCACUGUGGAAAACUAUUUGUCCUGAUGCAGCAAGUUAUCCUGAGCCCACUGCUGCUGAACUCCAGCCCUCCAUUACUGUCGAGGCAGUAACAUUCUUCCUUUACCAAUCUUAUGCAGAGCUUGGAUCAUCUCAGCUUUGGAAAACAAAUUACUGAUUGAAGACUGUGAAAUGGACAGACAAGUUAUUGAAACAGAGAAUGUAAUAUUCUACAUUCAAGAUACCGAAGUUGAAAAUUUCCCAGGUCUCCAGUUCCCUAAUGCAGAUACGGAGAAUAUCUCUGUCUUUGACCCAGCGAUUAGGAUCAGUCUGCCACCAACUCUCCUGGACAACAUCAACAUUACAACGAAAACGAUACGGAGUAAAGUAAUAUUAUUCAGGGAUGCAAGACUGUUCCAGGU